rnacentral:rRNA from 1 species
UAUUGGUCAAUGGGCGCGAGCCUGAACCAGCCAAGUAGCGUGAAGGAUGACGGCCCUAUGGGUUGUAAACUUCUUUUAUAUGGGCAUAACGGUUGGUAUGCAUACCAUUUUGUAUGUACCAUAUGAAUAAGGAUCGGCUAACUACGUGCCAGCAGCCGCGGUAAUACGGAGGAUCCGAGCGUUAUCCGGAUUUAUUGGGUUUAAAGGGAGCGUAGGUGGACAGUUAAGUCAGUUGUGAAAGUUUGCGGCUCAACCGUAAAAUUGCAGUUGAUACUGGCGGUCUUGAGUGCAGUAGAGGUGGGCGGAAUUCGUGGUGUAGCGGUGAAAUGCGUAGAUAUCACGAAGAACUCCGAUUGCGAAGGCAGCUCACUGGACUGCAACUGACACUGAUGCUCGAAAGUGUGGGUAUCAAACA